CAGUCGCCGCGGGAAUACGUAGGGUGCAAGCGUUAAUCGGAAUUACUGGGCGUAAAGCGUGCGCAGGCGGUUUGUUAAGACAGAUGUGAAAUCCCCGGGCUUAACCUGGGAACUGCAUUUGUGACUGGCAAGCUAGAGUCUGGCAGAGGGGGGUGGAAUUCCGCGUGUAGCAGUGAAAUGCGUAGAUAUCGGAAGGAACACCCGUGGCGAAAGCGGCUCACUGGACCAUAACUGACGCUGAUGCACGAAAGCUAGGGGAGCAAACAGGAUUAGAGACCCCAGUAGUCCCUGUCUCUUAUAC
rnacentral:rRNA from 1 species